rnacentral:rRNA from 1 species
GACGAACGCUGGCGGCGUGCUUAACACAUGCAAGUCGAACGGAAAGGCCUCUUUCGGGGGGUACUCGAGUGGCGAACGGGUGAGUAACACGUGAGUAACCUGCCCUUGACUUUGGGAUAACUUCAGGAAACUGGGGCUAAUACCGGAUAGGAGCUCCUGCUGCAUGGUGGGGGUUGGAAAGUUUCGGCGGUUGGGGAUGGACUCGCGGCUUAUCAGCUUGUUGGUGGGGUAGUGGCUUACCAAGGCUUUGACGGGUAGCCGGCCGGAGAGGGUGACCGGCCACAUUGGGACUGAGAUACGGCCCAGACUCCUACGGGAGGCAGCAGUGGGGAAUAUUGCACAAUGGGUGGAAGCCUGAUGCAGCAACGCCGUGUGCGGGAUGACGGACUUCGGGUUGUAAACCGCUUUCGCUCAUGACGAAGCUUUGUGUGACGGUAGUGGGUAAAGAAGCACCGGCUAACUACGUG